rnacentral:rRNA from 1 species
GACGAACGCUGGCGGCGUGCUUAACACAUGCAAGUCGAACGCUGAAGACCUGGCUUUUGUUGGGUUGGAUGAGUGGCGAACGGGUGAGUAACACGUGAGUAACCUGCCCUCUUCUUUGGGAUAACGCCCGGAAACGGGUGCUAAUACUGGAUAUUCACUGAUCUUCGCAUGGGGGUUGGUGGAAAGGUUUGUUCUGGUGGGGUAUGGGCUCGCGGCCUAUCCGCUUGUUGGUGGGGUGAUGGCCUACCAAGGCUUUGACGGGUAGCCGGCCUGGGAGGGUGACCGGUCACAUUGGGACUGAGAUACGGCCCAGACUGCUACGGGAGGCAGCAGUGGGGAAUAUUGCACAAUGGGCGAAAGCCUGAUGCAGCGACGCCGCGUGAGGGAUGGAGGCCUGCGGGUUGUAAACCUCUUUCGCUCAUGGUCAAGCCGCAACUGUGGGUUGUGGUGAGGGUAGUGGGUAAAGAAGCGCCGGCUAACUACGUG